AGAGCCCAGAGUCUCUAUGUUGCCCAGGCUGUUUUUGAACUCCUGGGUUCAGGUGCUCCACCUGCCUUGGCCUCCCAAAGUGCUGGGAUCACAGGUGCGUGCCACCUUGCCCCACCCACUCUUCCCCUCAUAUCCGCUAGCCUUGCUCUCUCUGCCCUUUCAGGUUUCCACUCUGAUGUCAGCUUCCCCGAACACCCCAUCCAAAAUGACACCCUCCCCCUCUGGGGAGCACCCCUCCAUUCCACAGGUGAGAGGACCAAGGCGCAGAGAGGUUACGGAACUUGCCCACAUCAUCCAGCACCAACUCUGGCUCCCAGGUCGCCUCUCCAAGAGUGGCCCUGACUCUGAGCUCCUCCGCCCCACCCUCAUGUUGCCAUGGUAACCCAGUGGCUUAUCAAAAAGAGAAGGAGAGAAGAAGAGAGGUGUCCUGGGAGCCUCCACCCUCCCAGACCCCUCUGCCACCAGCCUCAUUUCUUCCAGGGGCUUCCAUUUGCUUGAAAAGUUCUUCUGAGAGUCUAACCCACAGCCUGUCCCCAACUCACACCUACAUACCCAUGGGCUGGGAGCUGGCUCCUCUGGGGGAGGGAGGCAGCGUGUUGGCAGAACUUCCCAAGAAGGAGAGAGCAAGCGAGGAGCAUGCCUGUGUGCGUGUGUGUGUGUGUGUGUGUGUGUGUGUGUGUGCAGGCAGGGGUGGGGGAGAGGGGUGAUUCUUAAAGGGCCACCGCACAAUUAGCCCCCUCAGCAAGGCCCCUAAUGAUACGUCUAAUUAGCAGCCCUCUAAUUAGCAACAACUUAGGCAUAAUUACAAACCCACCAGGAUCCAAAGCAAAGGCUCAUGCUCCCUUCUCCCUCCGCCUCCCCGGCUUUCAGGAGAAACAGGGGCCAGCCGGGAGUCAGGAAUUCUCCUAAAGCAUCAAACCAAACCCCGCUCUCUCUGGGAGGAAGCCUCGGCCUGGGAAGUCCUCCCUCAGGUUUAAUCACCUGUCCUUCCUGCUGCAGUCCUCAAGAGAGACUACAGCCAGGUGAUGGGUUCUCAUGUCCACCCUCCUAGCCCAGGGGCUGGGUCAAGCACAGCCUAGUGCAAUCCCUUUUUCCUGCAAAACCUGGUUUCUCGCUGGGGCCUUGCGGGAGGAGCAGUCAGGGAGAGAAAGCACUAGAUAAAUAUUUGUGAAAUGAAUGACCAAGAGGUCUGAGCCCUGUCACCGGGGACCGUGGGCUCCCUCUGCUCCUGGCUCCUGCCUCUGCCUCUCCAUCCACCAGCAGCCCUGAAACCCAAUCUGCUUUUGGAAUCCAUUUUUUUUUAAGGAUCAGGUGGAGCCCAGGGUGGGAGUGGGGAGGGCAGAUGGCAGGUACCGUCUCCCAGGGCCAUCUCUCCCUCCCUUCGUGGGCCUGCGGCCAGCUGCGUCGGCGGUGAGCACCCCUGUUCUGCCUCACGUGCCUCUUAGGUCCUUGAUCAGAAGAACGGGACUGCAUGCCUGGGGGUGGGUGCAGUCUGGCGUGCCAGGAGGAGGCCUGCACCCCCUGCUCGAAAC
rnacentral:lncRNA from 1 species